CGGAUCUGCUGCACAGAUAUACACACGGGGAGAACAACUGCAGGACGAGAAUCAUAAGCUAACGGUUGAUAUACACAGAGAAUUAAAGUUCAUGACGACGAGAUCGGAACACAGAUCGGACAACAAUUGUUACCUUACAGAAGCAACUAAUCCCAGCUUCCCAGAUGUAUGAUAAAACAAACGAGAACGGAUAAGUAAAACAUAAGGAACCCUUGGAAA
rnacentral:lncRNA from 1 species